rnacentral:rRNA from 1 species
AGAGUUUGAUCCUGGCUCAGGACGAACGCUGGCGGCGUGCUUAACACAUGCAAGUCGAACGAGAUCCAUGGUGUAGCAAUACACCGGAAGAUCUAGUGGCGAACGGGUGAGGAACACGUGAGAAACCUGCCCCAGACUUUGGGAUAACAAGUGGAAACGCUUGCUAAUACCGAAUGACGUCGGAGAACCGCAUGGUUCACUGACGAAAGGAAUUCCGGUUUGGGAGGGUCUCGCGGCCUAUCAGCUUGUUGGUGGGGUAAUGGCCUACCAAGGCAACGACGGGUAGCUGGUCUGAGAGGAUGAUCAGCCACACUGGGACUGAGACACGGCCCAGACUCCUACGGGAGGCAGCAGUGGGGAAUCUUGCGCAAUGGGCGAAAGCCUGACGCAGCAACGCCGCGUGCGGGAUGAAGGCCUUCGGGCUGUAAACCGCUUUCAGCAGGAACGAAAAUGACGGUACCUGCAGAAGAAGGAGCGGCCAACUACGUGCCGGCAGCCGCGGUGACACGUAGGCUCCAAGCGUUGUCCGGAUUUAUUGGGCGUAAAGAGCUCGUAGGCGGUUGAGUAAGUCGGGUGUGAAAACUCUGGGCUUAACCCGGAGACGCCAUCCGAUACUGCUCUGACUUGAGUUCAGGAGGGGAGUGGGGAAUUCCUAGUGUAGCGGUGAAAUGCGCAGAUAUUAGGAGGAACACCGGUGGCGAAGGCGCCACUCUGGACUGAAACUGACGCUGAGGAGCGAAAGCAUGGGUAGCAAACAGGAUU